GUGAGGAAUAUUGCGCAAUGGAGGCAACUCUGACGCAGCCAUGCCGCGUGCAGGAAGAAGGCGCUACGCGUUGUAAACUGCUUUUAACCGGGAAGAAACCCCAGGACGUGUCCUGGGUUGACGGUACCGGAGGAAUAAACACCGGCUAACUUCGUGCCAGCAGCCGCGGUAAUACGAAGGGUGCAAGCGUUAUCCGGAUUCAUUGGGUUUAAAGGGUGCGUAGGCGGAGCGUUAAGUCAGUGGUGAAAUCCUGCAGCUUAACUGUAGACUUGCCAUUGAUACUGGCGCUCUUGAGUGCGCUUGAAGUGGGCGGAAUGUGCCGUGUAGCGGUGAAAUGCUUAGAUAUGGCACAGAACACCAAUUGCGAAGGCAGCUCACUAAGGCGAUACUGACGCUGAGGCACGAAAGCGUGGGGAUCGAACAGGAUUAGAUACCCCGGUAGUCC
rnacentral:rRNA from 1 species